AUGACAAUCUAAAAAUGGCAACAGUAUUUAAAAUACUUUAUAUCAUGUGAAGAAGUUCCUGUCACAGCAAACACCUAUCUGACCCACCGAUGCAAAUAAACGUGGAUUACUGGGAGCCCUGCUGUUUCUACUAUCUCUUACGAGUUAUAAAAACCCAGACAGCAACAUAGUGUUGGCCCAGAUCAGGCCCACAUCUGGCCCGCGUGAAAUCCAUGCGAACCAGAUGUGGGCCGGAUCUGGGCCGAAACUGCUUGCUGUCUGGGAAGCUGAGGUGGUCGGAGUUUAAAGCUAAACUCUAACUUAGUCCUGCUAUUUUAGUGCUGAUCAAAUCGGUGCAGCAGCUUUAUACAGCCUUAUUAUCUAGAUUUGCUAGAAGACGAUAGAACAAUACUCACCCUGAAGUUGUGAAGUUGAUGUAACUUGAAACGUUUAUUGCCCUUCUCCGUGCGAUAAAAUUCAUUUGCAGUAAUCCGGGGAAGUUCUUGAAAAUGAAAAAUCAUCUACUCCUAUUGUCAUUUUGAAAGCUCUAAGGAAAGAGAAAUGGCUGUGCAUAGAGUCCAUUGUGUACAAGAGCAGAGCUAAACUGCCCAAAUGAAAAAAUAAUAUUAUUGAUUUAUUUUCUGCUCAAUUCAUGAAUCGAUACAUUAAGAUUAUCAGGAUGUCAAAACAUUCAAUAAAAACACGUUGUUCAUUUAAAAAUCGAUUACACAUAUUAAGUUACACAUAUUCAUCCUUUGGGAAUAGGCUAUAUGCACACUCACUUCCGCAUUCCAAGUCGGCCAGCCAGGUUACAUCCGGCGUCGACGGCGCACAUAGCGUCAAUAACAACUAUGGCAUUUUUCACUCGGUCCCUUCAAGAUGUCCCAAAGGUAACGGUCAACGACGUGAGUCGAAUCAUACAAAAGUUAUGUCACACUUCGACAACCAAGAAAGAGAAGGGCUUCAAAUUGUAUGUGUCAAGCUACAUCCACAAUUUUGAAGCUGCCAGUGUACCUGUGUGGCAGGUACAGCUGUGUGUAAUCAUGUGGCAGCACUGUUGUACCAGACUGCACAUUAUUGCCAGCUUAGCAUCACCUCUGUUCCCCCAACACACAGCUGCACAGAGACUGAACAGAAGUGGCAUAAGCCAAGAUCCAUGGGUGUUAAACCUGGUCUUGUAAAUGACAUGGUGAUUCUUUCAGCCAGACCCAAGGAACGAAAACUGAUGGAAGGCAUUAGGUUAGUAUUAUUUUUAUUAUCAUUAAAGGAACACUCCACUGUUUUUUCAUAUUAAACUAUGUUAUUCCCUUAACUAAGAUGAGUUGAUGCAUACCUCUCUCGUCUCAGUGCGUGCACUUAAUUGCUCUGGAUAACUAUAAUGUAUGGCAGAAUAGCACUUGGGAACACUACUAUAUUUGCACUUGGGAGCACUUUGACUCAGCGCAGUAAUAUCAUCACUCCUAAAAGGAUAUUUCUGUGGAUAUUACUGCGCCGAGUCAAAGUGCUCUCAAGUGCAGAUAUAGUAGUAAUGCAUUUUCUGUAGUAAUCAGUGAGACCUCAGAUAAAGUAGUAAUCUCAUCAUAUGAUACAUUGUAUGUUUAAAUAAAUAAAGCUUUUUUUUUUUUGUUAUUUUGUUC
ensembl:lncRNA